rnacentral:rRNA from 1 species
AUUGAACGCUGGCGGCAUGCCUUACACAUGCAAGUCGAACGGUAACAGGUCUUCGGAUGCUGACGAGUGGCGAACGGGUGAGUAAUACAUCGGAACGUGCCCGAUCGUGGGGGAUAACGCAGCGAAAGCUGUGCUAAUACCGCAUACGAUCUACGGAUGAAAGCGGGGGAUCGCAAGACCUCGUGCGGACGGAGCGGCCGAUGGCAGAUUAGGUAGUUGGUGGGAUAAAAGCUUACCAAGCCGACGAUCUGUAGCUGGUCUGAGAGGACGACCAGCCACACUGGGACUGAGACACGGCCCAGACUCCUACGGGAGGCAGCAGUGGGGAAUUUUGGACAAUGGGCGCAAGCCUGAACCGGCCAUGCCGCGUGCAGGAUGAAGGCCUUCGGGUUGUAAACUGCUUUUGUACGGAACGAAAAAGUUCUCUCUAAUACAGGGGGCGAAUGACGGUACCGUAAGAAUAAGCACCGGCUAACUACGUGCCAGCAGCCGCGGUAAUAC